UAAAGGUGGAUGUACUCCUGCCCAUCAAGGUAGAGAAAGGCCCCACGCUGCACAUCCACCUCCGUGCCACUGUGAUUCAGCUGCUGCUCAGCCUCUCCAGGAACAGACUCCAGUUCCCCCAUGUCCAGGUUGGGCAGUGCUGGAGUGAAACAGUCCGGCUUUACAACCGGUUCAGCGCCCCUCGUGAAUGGUUCCUCACUGUCAACAAACCUUCCAAGAAGGUGGACAAACGUUUGACACCGGCUGUGC